ACGAACGCUGGCGGCGUGCUUCACCCCUGCAAGUCGAACGGAAAGGCCCUGCUUUUGUGGGGUGCUCGAGUGGCGAACGGGUGAGUAACACGUGAGUAACCUGCCCUUGACUUUGGGAUAACUUCAGGAAACUGGGGCUAAUACCGGAUAGGAGCUCCUGCUGCAUGGUGGGGGUUGGAAAGUUUCGGCGGUUGGGGAUGGACUCGCGGCUUAUCAGCUUGUUGGUGGGGUAGUGGCUUACCAAGGCUUUGACGGGUAGCCGGCCUGAGAGGGUGACCGGCCACAUUGGGACUGAGAUACGGCCCAGACUACUACGGGAGGCAGCAGUGGGGAAUAUUGCACAAUGGGCGGAAGCCUGAUGCAGCAACGCCGCGUGCGGGAUGACGGCCUUCGGGUUGUAAACCGCUUUCGCCUGUGACGAAGCGUGAGUGACGGUAAUGGGUAAAGAAGCACCGGCUAACUACGUG
rnacentral:rRNA from 1 species